rnacentral:rRNA from 1 species
UACGUAGGGUGCGAGCGUUAAUCGGAAUUACUGGGCGUAAAGCGUGCGCAGGCGGUUUUGUAAGCCAGAUGUGAAAUCCCCGGGCUUAACCUGGGAAUGGCAUUUGGGACUGCAAGGCUGGAGUGCGGCAGAGGAGACUGGAAUUCCUGGUGUAGCAGUGAAAUGCGUAGAUAUCAGGAGGAACACCGAUGGCGAAGGCAGGUCUCUGGGCCACUACUGACGCUGAGAAGCGAAAGCAUGGGGAGCAAACAGG